GGUGGCUCAGUGGUAGAGUGCUUGCCUCGCAUGCAUGAGGCCGUGGGUUCAAUUCCUCAGCACCA
rnacentral:tRNA from 1 species